rnacentral:rRNA from 1 species
AUUGAACGCUGGCGGCAGGCCUAACACAUGCAAGUCGAACGAGUGGCGGACGGGUGAGUAAUGUCUGGGAAACUGCCUGAUGGGGGGGGAUAACUACUGGAAACGGUAGCUAAUACCGCAUACCAUCAGAUGUGCCCAGGUUGGAUUAGCUGGUUGGUGGGGUAACGGCUCACCAAGGCGACGAUCCCUAGCGGGUCUGAGAGGAUGACCAGCCACACUGGAAUGGAGACACGGUCAAGACUCCUACGGGAGGCAGAAGGGGGGAAUAUUGGACAAGGGGGGCAGGCCGGCGGCAGCCAGGCCGCGUGUAGGAAGAAGGCUUUCGGGUUGUAAGGUACUUUCAGCGGGGAGGCGUUACCCGCAGAAGAAGCACCGGCUAACUCCGUGCCAGCAGCCGCGGUAAUAC